UUUUCUGACUAGGGGUGCCGGAGCGACCGGCUGAGAUAAAGAUGUAUUUCUUUAACCCUUUAACCUGAUCUGGAUAAUGCCAGCGUAGGGAAGUUUGAGCGACAUUAA
rnacentral:ncRNA from 2 species